rnacentral:rRNA from 1 species
GACGAACGCUGGCGGCGUGCUUAACACAUGCAAGUCGAACGGAAAGGCCCUGCUUUUGUGGGGUGCUCGAGUGGCGAACGGGUGAGUAACACGUGAGUAACCUGCCCUUGACUUUGGGAUAACUUCAGGAAACUGGGGCUGAUACCGGAUAGGAGCUCCUGCUGCAUGGUGGGGGUUGGAAAGUUUCGGCGGUUGGGGAUGGACUCGCGGCUUAUCAGCUUGUUGGUGGGGUAGUGGCUUACCAAGGCUUUGACGGGUAGCCGGCCUGAGAGGGUGACCGGCCACAUUGGGACUGAGAUACGGACCAGACUCCUACGGGAGGCAGCAGGGGGGAAUAUUGCACGAUGGGCGGAAGCCUGAUGCAGCAACGCCGCGUGCAGGAUGACGGCCUUCGGGUUGUAAACCGCUUUCGCCUGUGACGAAGCGUGAGUGACGGUAAUGGGUAAAGAAGCACCGGCUAACUACGUG